rnacentral:rRNA from 1 species
GACGAACGCUGGCGGCGUGCUUAACACAUGCAAGUCGAACGAAGUGGCGAACGGGUGAGUAAUACGUGAGUAACCUGCCCUCCUUUUUGGGAUAAGCCUUGGAAACGGGGUCUAAUACCGAAUAAAGGGGGAUGGGCUCGCGGCCUAUCAGCUUGUUGGUGGGGUGAGGGCCUACAAAGGCGGUGACGGGUAGCCGGCCUGAGAGGGUGACCGGCCAAAGUGGGACUGGGAUACGGCCCAGACUGAGACGGGAGGGAGCAUGAGGGGAUAUUGCACAAUGGGCGAAAGCCUGAUGCAGCGACGCAGCGUGGGGGAUGAAGGCUUGCGGGUUGUAAACCUCUUUCGCGAUCGAAAGGGUAGGUGGAGAAGAAGCGCCGGCUAACUACGUGCCAGCAGCCGCGGUAAUUC